AUCGAACGCUGGCGGUUUGCUUUACACAUGCACGUCGAACGGUAACGCGGACUUCGGCCUGGCGACGAGCNUCCAACGGGUGAGUAAUGCAUCGGAACGUAUCCUUUUGUGGGGGAUAGCCCGGCAAAAGCCGGAUUAAUACCGCAUAAUCUCUGAGGAGGAAAGUGGGGGACCUUCGGGCCUUACGCUGAUGGAGCGGCUGAUGUCGGAUUAGCUUGUUGGUAGGGUAAAGGCCUACCAAGGCGACGAUCCGUAGCUGGUCUGAGAGGACGACCAGCCACACUGGAACUGAGACACGGUCCAGACUCCUACGGGAGGCAGCAGUGGGGAAUUUUGGACAAUGGGGGCAACCCUGAUCCAGCCAUGCCGCGUGCGGGAAGAAGGCCUUCGGGUUGUAAACCGCUUUCAGACGGGAAGAAACAGUACAAGUUAAUACCUUGUACGAAUGACGGUACCGUCAGAAGAAGCACCGGCUAACUACGUGCCAGCAGCCGCGGUAAUACGUAGGGUGCGAGCGUUAAUCGGAAUUACUGGGCGUAAAGAGUGCGCAGGCGGCUCUCUAAGACAGGUGUGAAAUCCCCGGGCUUAACCUGGGAAUGGCGCUUGUGACUGGAGAGCUAGAGUGUGGCAGAGGGGAAUGGAAUUCCUGCUGUAGCAGUGAAAUGCGUAGAUAUCAGGAGGAACACCGAUGGCGAAGGCAGUUCCCUGCGCCAACACUGACGCUCAUGCACGAAAGCGUGGGGAGCAAACAGGAUUAGAUACCCUGGUAGUCCACGCCCUAAACGAUGUCAACUAGUUGUUGGGGAAGGAGACUUCUUUAGUACCGUAGCUAACGCGUGAAGUUGACCGCCUGGGGAGUACGGCCGCAAGAUUAAAACUCAAAGGAAUUGACGGGGACCCGCACAAGCGGUGGAUGAUGUGGAUUAAUUCGAUGCAACGCGAAAAACCUUACCUACCCUUGACAUGUGAGGAAGUUGUCAGAGAUCGCUUGGUGCCCGAAAGGGAACCUCAACACAGGUGCUGCAUGGGUGUCGUCAGCUCGUGUCGUGAGAUGUUGGGUUAAGUCCCGCAACGAGCGCAACCCUUGUCAUUAAUUGCCAUCAUUUAGUUGAGCACUCUAAUGAGACUGCCGGUGACAAACCGGAGGAAGGUGGGGAUGACGUCAAGUCCUCAUGGCCCUUAUGGGUAGGGCUUCACACGUCAUACAAUGGCGCGUACAGAGGGUUGCCAACCCGCAAGGGGGAGCUAAUCCCAGAAAGCGCGUCGUAGUCCGGAUUGUUCUCUGCAACUCGAGAACAUGAAGUCGGAAUCGCUAGUAAUCGCGGAUCAGCAUGUCGCGGUGAAUACGUUCCCGGGUCUUGUACACACCGCCCGUCACACCAUGGGAGUAGGUUUCACCAGAAGUAGCUAGCCCAACCGUAAGGAGGGCGGUUACCACGGUGAGGUCUAUGACUGGGGUGAAGUCGUAACAAGGUAGCCGUAUCGGAAGGUGCGGCUGGAUCACCUCCUUUSUCUAGAGUAAUAGCAAGCAACUUAAUAUUUUGCUUCACGAAGUGCUCACAUGCUUUAGCUGUCUGCUGAACUCGAGACUAUCACUAGACCGGGUCUGUAGCUCAGUUGGUUAGAGCACACGCUUGAUAAGCGUGGGGUCGAUGGUUCAAAUCCAUCCAGACCCACCAACGACCUGAAUAAGGGGCUAUAGCUCAGCUGGGAGAGCACCUGCUUUGCAAGCAGGGGGUCAUCGGUUCGAUCCCGAUUAGCUCCACCAACAUCAGUCAUAUGAUUCGGUGCUAGGUGAAAUUGAGGUGUGGGAAGUGCAGAGUUGAGAGACUCUCUAGUUCUCACCCUUCAAAGGUGAAGCGUUCUUUAACAAUAUGGAAGAAGUAGAUUUGAUGUGUCACUUUUAUGUGAGGUGAUGCGUUAAAUCAUGGGUUUAAAGAUUGUAUUGUUAUGUAUGCAAGAUUUUUUUGUGUGCCUAAACAUGUUCUCUUGAUUUUUUUAGAAUUCAAGUAAUAAGUAAGACAAGCGAUCCUGUAGUGAUGCAAGUUUUUUGUGGUAUGCAAGGCUAUAGGGUCAAGCGAAUAAGUGCAUGUGGUGGAUGCCUUGGAGAUUACAGGCGAUGAAGGACGUGGUAGCCUGCGAUAAACUGCGGGGAGCUGGCAAACAAGCUUCGAUCCGCAGGUUU
rnacentral:rRNA from 1 species